UACGUAUGUGGCAAGCGUUGUCCGGAUUUACUGGGCGUAAAGGGAGCGCAGGCGGCGCGCCAAGUCUGAUGUGAAACCCCGGGGCUCAACCCCGGGCAUGCAUUGGAAACUGGCGGGCUGGAGUGCCGGAGAGGUAAGCGGAAUUCCUAGUGUAGCGGUGAAAUGCGUAGAUAUUAGGAGGAACACCAGUGGCGAAGGCGGCUUACUGGACGGCAACUGACGCUGAGGCUCGAAAGCGUGGGGAGCAAACAGG
rnacentral:rRNA from 1 species